CCUACGGGAGGCAGCAGUAGGGAAUAUUGCUCAAUGGGGGAAACCCUGAAGCAGCAACGCCGCGUGGAGGAUGAAGGUUUUCGGAUUGUAAACUCCUUUUGUUAGAGAAGAUAAUGACGGUAUCUAACGAAUAAGCACCGGCUAAAUCCAUGCCAGCAGCCGCGGUAAUACGGCGGGUGCCAGCGUUACUCGGAAUCACUGGGCGUAAAGAGCGGGUAGGCGGGAUAGCAAGUCAGAUGUGAAAUCCUAGGGCUUAACCAUAGAACUGCAUUUGAAACUGUUAUUCUAGAGUAUGGGAGAGGUAGGUGGAAUUCUUGGUGUAGGGGUAAAAUCCGUAGAGAUCAAGAGGAAUACUCAUUGCGAAGGCGACCUGCUAGAACAUAACUGACGCUGAUGCGCGAAAGCGUGGGGAGCAAACAGGAUUAGAUACCCUGGUAGUC
rnacentral:rRNA from 1 species